AGCAGAGUGGCACAGCGGAAGCGUGCUGGGCCCAUAUCCCAGAAGUUGAUGGAUUGAAACCAUCCUCUGCUA
rnacentral:tRNA from 1 species